rnacentral:rRNA from 1 species
AUUGAACGCUGGCGGCAGGCCUAACACAUGCAAGUCGAGCGGUAGCACAGAGAGCUUGCUCUCGGGUGACGAGCGGCGGACGGGUGAGUAAUGUCUGGGAAACUGCCUGAUGGAGGGGGAUAACUACUGGAAACGGUAGCUAAUACCGCAUAACGCCGCAAGACCAAAGAGGGGGACCUUCGGGCCUCUUGCCAUCAGAUGUGCCCAGAUGGGAUUAGCUAGUAGGUGGGGUAACGGCUCACCUAGGCGACGAUCCCUAGCUGGUCUGAGAGGAUGACCAGCCACACUGGAACUGAGACACGGUCCAGACUCCUACGGGAGGCAGCAGUGGGGAAUAUUGCACAAUGGGCGCAAGCCUGAUGCAGCCAUGCCGCGUGUAUGAAGAAGGCCUUCGGGUUGUAAAGUACUUUCAGCGGGGAGGAAGGUGUUGUGGUUAAUAACCACAGCAAUUGACGUUACCCGCAGAAGAAGCACCGGCUAACUCCGUGCCAGCCGCCGCGGUAACAC